UCAAGGGAUUUGUACAGCCCUGUAGGAGACACCUCCAGAGAAAGUAACAGCUCUCAAUUGAUUAGCUGAGGAGACCGAUUUUGUAAAUCACUACUUUUCUAACAACACUGGCACAGAUGGCCAAGCAUUCUCCCUUUUCUCAGAGCUGGUUUUCCAUCCCGGAAAGAGGUCUUACAUAUACAAAGUUACUCUAAUCAGUUGUGAGCUGAUACCAUCAGCAUUCUUACUGAAGAACUCCUUAGUGAAAUAGGGAAGUUCAUAAAAUGCUUGUGAGAAGAUGGAAUAAAUAGGAAUUUCUGUAUUCCUCCUGAUAAGUACAACUAAAAACCCUGGACAUUAUUUAUAAAACAAACUGAAGAAGACUCUGAAAGAUAGAGAGGAGAAAGCAGACCACCUAGGGACCUCAGGACUCAAGGAACAAAAUGAAGAAUAAACAGAUGCUUUUACAGCUCGCCUUGGCGGGAAGAUCUGGCACAAAUGAAGU
rnacentral:lncRNA from 1 species